UAAAACAUUAGACUGCAUGACUAGCUACGC
rnacentral:piRNA from 1 species